rnacentral:lncRNA from 1 species
GGAGGGACAAGUAUAACUUUUUAAAGAAAUUAAAAUAUUUCAUAAACUUAAAUGAAUGGAUGUUACAAUUUUCAGUGUAGCCAACUGGUUAGUGGAAUAACCUUCAUUAAGAUUGCCAGAGACCAAAACUUUGUUCAGCCAAUUGACAUGAUCAUUAAAAAGCCAAAAGAGAUAAUAUAAUUAUCUCAUAAUUAAUAAACUGUAAAUUUAAAGGAAAAUAACGAUUUAAAUUUCUAAAUGCAUUGCUGCAGACCUUAAUAUUGAUUCAGAAUGAGAAAAGUUAAAUAAUUAAAUAAUGAAAUAAUGUUGAAGAGGGGGAAAUUUGAUAAAUCUGAAAAAAGGACAAAACCGGAAAAAGUUUUAAUAAGAAAACUAUUAAAAAAUUUAAAAAAGAACUAAAAUAAAAAAUGUUGACAUUGCUAUGGGAACCCUGCCCCUUUUAAGGCAGACUCCAUACAGGUACUAAUCAAGGAUAAAAAGAAUCAAGCAUUAUUCCUUAAUUUCCCAUUCCACAAUGUAGGUGAUCUCUUAAAAGGUAACUAAAAGGUGAUCCCAACUAACCCACUGAAGUAUCCAGAAGAAGGAUACAACAGAUACGGCGCUGUACUUCAUUACUUGCCGUCGCCCAGAAGCCAUCAGCAAGGACCAGCUGAGAGCUAUUUAUUUGACAAAAGAGACUUCAAUUUCCCCAUUGUGAACUUUUCUUAUGUAGCAGCAAUCCAAUUAUACCUGUAAAUGAAUUUCAUGUCUCCUUGCUAAUUAUUCCACUCUUUGCAUCUCAUGCAUGCAGGUAUUUCCUUUAAAAAAAAAGUUGCUGCUUUAAAAAGAAACUUCUGAAACAAGGAUUGUUAAUGAUCAAGUUGAUAGAGUUUAGUCAUUCUUUACAUGAUUUAUUCUUAACAAAAAUUUUAGAUGUGAAAAAAAAAUCAUAUACAGUCAAACCUGCCUUAAGGUCACCACCUUGUUUAAGAGGUCAACUAUCUCUAACAGUCUCUUGGAUACC